CAAGCCCUGAAACAAAACUGGGAGUUUAAAUUAAUGGCUUCUGGCAAACUGUCAACUGAUAUUAACUUUAUCAUUCAGCACAAUGUCAGUUUUAAGAGCUUCAGGAUAGGACAUUUGAAUGUUAGAAUCCUGAUUAUCAGAUUAAAUGAAUUCCACUUUAUCUUUCAGCCCAGUACUGUGGACCAGGACACCUGACUUACUAAUCUUCUCUGACUUUUGGAGAGGGCAGUAUGUGCUGGUGAGGCUGUGACAUCUGAUUAACUUCUGUUAUCAGGAUGCUUUCUUUAUUCCCGCAGCUGCAUUCACUGGGAACAAGGAAAUUGGCAAUGAGCUCAGAAGGUGCACGGGAGGCAACCCAAUUCCCACUGCAGCUGCAAAGGGACUUUGGGAAAAUUCCUGCAAGACACAUUGCAAUGGACUUCAUUAUUCAGAAGGAAGAUGUACAUCUCCUGAACCACAAGCAGAGUUGCUGCUCUCCUGGAGUCCUGCAUAACUUGGAACCUUAGGGUAAGAACAUGAAAGAAUGAACAACCACAAUGGAGAUAAUUUUCUGAAGAAAGCAGCAUGACUCUCGUGAAGUUAUGGACAUUCAUUUGCAGGAGCCUUAUUACCUGAUGUAAGCCAUUGUUAUCCUACUUCCUUCAAAGGUGCAUUAGUAGCUUACUUCAUUUUCACCAUCAGCUUAGAACUGCUCGUUGUUCACCACCGCUGCUGGAAAUACACACACUUCCCAAUGUCCAGACUUUUUAUGUACAAAGGUAAGUAUAUAAUGAAAACUAGAAGUUUAAAGAACAAUUAUCAACAAGAGAAAUUACAAAUUUGGCUAUUUUGAGUGUUCCAUCCAAAUGCUUAUUCAACAAUGUUUUUGUUCUUCCCCUCAAGUCUCCCUCCCCUUACACAUGUAUGUUGUGUGUGCCCUGCCCAAUAGCAUUGAAAACUGCAAACUCUUGACAGUCUGAGGGCUGACAGAGGGGGCAUCUGUUGUAUGUCGCAGCUUUUUUUUGAUGCCUGGUGAUAAUGUUGAUACAGAUACUUUGAUCUUUAAGCAGUUUGACUUCAUGGAAGAGAUUCUGACUGUGUGGAUGUCUAAAUAAGUUCCCUCAGCUCAUAAAUCUAAAUAAUUCUCAAACUCUCCUACUGGUUUUAUGAUCUCCUAAAUUAUACAGUCUGAAGUAUUUUUCAACUGUUCCACAUUUCUAGCCAAGUCUUUGGAGAUGGUGAAAACUGAGCCUUUAGUGUCCUGUUUCUAUUGCAGGAAGGGCACAAGCAGCUUUUGUAGGUCUGGGCAGAUGAAGAUGGUUUCCACCUGCUUUGUUCUUGGGCAGAUGUUUGUCAGGUUUAGAACCCAUUCUUCUUUUAUGCUUUUAUUAAAAACCUCUCCUCCACACAGGUAGAAGGGAAGGUAGGAAAAUGAAGCCUACUUGUGCUCUUGUUGAUAUCUUUUCAAGGUUGAUUUGAAUAAGGGACAGACUUUGUUGUUGUUGUUAUCACUGGAAUGCAAUAAUAAAAAAAAAUCAUUCUGAAC
rnacentral:lncRNA from 1 species